AUUGAACGCUGGCGGCAUGCUUUACACAUGCAAGUCGAACGGCAGCGCGGGCUUCGGCCUGGCGGCGAGUGGCGAACGGGUGAGUAAUAUAUCGGAACGUACCCAAGAGUGGGGGAUAACGUAGCGAAAGUUACGCUAAUACCGCAUACGAUCUAAGGAUGAAAGCAGGGGGCCGCAAGGCCUUGUGCUCCUGGAGCGGCCGAUAUCUGAUUAGCUAGUUGGUGAGGUAAAGGCUCACCAAGGCAACGAUCAGUAGCUGGUCUGAGAGGACGACCAGCCACACGGGAACUGAGACACGGUCCAGACGCCUACGGGAGGCAGCAGUGGGGAAUUUUGGACAAUGGGGGCAACCCUGAUCCAGCAAUGCCGCGUGAGUGAAGAAGGCCUUCGGGUUGUAAAGCUCUUUUGUCAGGGAAGAAAAGGGUCUGGCUAAUAUCCAGAUCUGCUGACGGUACCUGAAGAAUAAGCACCGGCUAACUACGUGCCAGCCGCCGCAGUAAGAC
rnacentral:rRNA from 1 species